rnacentral:rRNA from 1 species
UACGGGAGGCAGCAGUGGGGAAUAUUGCACAAUGGGCGCAAGCCUGAUGCAGCCAUGCCGCGUGUAUGAAGAAGGCCUUCGGGUUGUAAAGUACUUUCAGUCGUGAGGAAGGUGUUAAGGUUAAUAACCUUAGCAAUUGACGUUAGCGACAGAAGAAGCACCGGCUAACUCCGUGCCAGCAGCCGCGGUAAUACGGAGGGUGCGAGCGUUAAUCGGAAUUACUGGGCGUAAAGGGCACGCAGGCGGUUAAUUAAGUUGGAUGUGAAAUCCCCGGGCUUAACCUGGGAAUGGCAUUCAAGACUGGUUAGCUAGAGUCUUGUAGAGGGGGUAGAAUUCCAUGUGUAGCGGUGAAAUGCGUAGAGAUGUGGAGGAAAUACCGGUGGCGAAAGGCGGCCCCUGGACAAAAGACUGACGCUCAUGUGCGAAAGCGUGGGGAGCAAAACAGGGAUUAAGA